ACACCAACUCCCCGAGUGGUCCGGACGAUUAUUGGGCUUAAAGCGUCCGUAGCCGGCCUAGUAAGUCUCCGGUUAAAUCCGGCGUCUCAAGCGCCGGGCUGCCGGAGAUACUGCUAGGCUAGGGAGCGGGAGAGGCGGGCGGUAUUCCCUGGGUAGGGGUAAAAUCCUAAGAUCCAGGGAGGACCAUCGGUGGCGAAGGCGGCCCGCUAGAACGCGUCCGACGGUGAGGGACGAAAGCUGGGGGAGCGAACCGGAUUAGAAACCCUAGUAGUCC
rnacentral:rRNA from 1 species